rnacentral:rRNA from 1 species
GGUCCUUGAUGUGUAGGAUAGGUGGGAGGCUUUGAAGUGUGGACGCCAGUCUGCAUGGAGCCAUCCUUGAAAUACCACCCUUUAAUGGCUGGUGUUCUAACGUGGGCCCCUAAUCGGGGUUGCGGACAGUGUCUGGUGGGUAGUUUGACUGGGGCGGUCUCCUCCUAAAGAGUAACGGAGGAGCACGAAGGUCAGCUAAUCCUGGUCGGACAUCAGGAGGUUA